rnacentral:rRNA from 1 species
UAUCAAUAUUUUUCAACAACCCUUCAAUAGUACUGAGUAAUUCUAUACUUCUAUAGAAUUUAUUAUGUUAAAACUAGUAACAAGAAGAAGACCUUCUCUUAAAUGUGCCCAUAAGUCAGGAAGGACACACCACUGACAAUUAACGCCCAUGAUCUUAAAGUAAAAACUUAACAAGAAAAACUUACUGGUCACAACGUUAACCUAACACAAGAACAUUCCAAGAAAGAUUAAAAGAAAAAGAAGGAACUCGGCAAAUAUUAACCCCGCCUGUUUACCAAAAACAUCGCCUCUUGAAAAACAUAAGAGGUCCAGCCUGCCCAGUGACACCUGUUCAACGGCCGCGGUAUCCUAACCGUGCGAAGGUAGCGUAAUCACUUGUCCUUUAAAUGGGGACUAGUAUGAAUGGCAUCACGAGGGUUAUACUGUCUCCUUUUUCUAAUCAGUUAAACUAAUCUCCCCGUGAAGAAGCGGGGAUACACCUAUAAGACGAGAAGACCCUAUGGAGCUUUAAACAAAACAGCACUCGCUAUCUUACACGCCAAUCCCAGGAAACUAACCCUUAUUUUAGCAUUCUGUCUGUCAGUUUUAGGUUGGGGUGACCGCGGAGUAAAAAAUAGCCUCCACACUGAAAGGGACUUUCCCUAAGCAAAAAGUCACAACUUUAUGCAUCAAUAAAUUGACACCAAUUGACCCAAUAUUUUGAUCAACGAAACAAGUUACCCUAGGGAUAACAGCGCAAUCCACUUCGAGAGCCCUUAUCGACAAGUGGGUUUACGACCUCGAUGUUGGAUCAGGGUACCCCAGUGGUGCAGCCGCUACUAAA